UACGGAGGGUGCAAGCGUUAUCCGGAUUCACUGGGUUUAAAGGGUGCGUAGGUGGGCAGGUAAGUCAGUGGUGAAAUCUCCGGGCUUAACUCGGAAACUGCCAUUGAUACUAUCUGUCUUGAAUACCGUGGAGGUCAGCGGAAUAUGUCAUGUAGCGGUGAAAUGCUUAGAUAUGACAUAGAACACCAAUUGCGAAGGCAGCUGGCUACACAAAUAUUGACACUGAGGCACGAAAGCGUGGGGAUCAAACAGG
rnacentral:rRNA from 1 species